GGUCGCUUAGCUCAGUUGGUUUAGAGCGUGGUGCUAAUAACGCCAAGGUCGCGAGUUCGACCCUCGUAGUGACCA